rnacentral:rRNA from 1 species
AUGCAGUUAGGGUGUCUCCAUUGGAGCUCGCGAGCAACCUUUAACGGACGCCAUCAUCAUCUCCUGUUGGUCCUCCAUGGUGGAGGAAUGGAGGAGGAGACGGAUCUGGCAAAGCCCUUCUAUAUAAGCUUGCUAAGGCCCCGAGGCGAGACGAUGCGAAGGGCGGCCCCCUUUCUUCCUCCUGACCAUGUUGCCAAAGGGGAGGCAGCGCAACUUCGGUUUGGUGUCCAUGGCGUUUGCUGUGGAGGGCUCGACAGACCAAGUGGUCUCGUCCCCGGCGCCGAGGUCAGUGCCGUUCUCAAGCUGUUUUGA